rnacentral:tRNA from 1 species
GCCUCAGUAGCUCAGUGGUGGAGCGGCGCUCUCGUAAAGCGCAGGUCGGGAGUUCAACUCUUCCCUGAGGCU